UGGCUCAGGAUUAACGCUGGCGGCAUGCCUAAUACAUGCAAGUCGAACGAAGUAGUUUACUACUUAGUGGCGAACGGGUGAGUAACACGUAUCUAAUCUACCAUUUAGUGGGGAAUAACUGUUGGAAACGACAGCUAAUACCGCAUGUUGUUCCUAGGAUGAUUUUCUAGGAAUGAAAGGAGCUUUCAAGCUUCGCUAUUUGAUGAGGAUGCGGCGCAUUAGCUAGUUGGUAGGGUAAUGGCCUACCAAGGCAAUGAUGCGUAGCCGAUCUGAGAGGAUGAACGGCCACAUUGGGACUGAGACACGGCCCAAACUUCUACGGAAGGCAGCAGUAGGGAAUUUUUCACAAUGGGCGAAAGCCUGAUGGAGCAAUGCCGCGUGACUGAUGAAGGUCUUUGGAUUGUAAAGGUCUGUUGUAAGGGAAGAAAUAGUAGGACAGGAAAUGGUUCUACUUAUGACGGUACCUUACCUAGAAAGCCACGGCUAACUAUGUGCCAGCAGCCGCGGUAAUACAUAGGUGGCAAGCGUUAUCCGGAUUUAUUGGGCGUAAAGGGUGCGUAGACGGUUUUGUAAGUCUGAGGUUAAAUAUGAGAGCUCAACUCUCAUUCGCCUUGGAAACUGCAAGGCUAGAGUAUAGGAGAGGCUAGUGGAAUUCCAUGUGUAGCGGUGGAAUGUGUAGAUAUAUGGAGGAACACCAGUGGCGAAGCGGCUAGCUGGCCUAUUACUGACGUUGAAGCACGAAAGCGUGGGGAGCAAAUAGGAUUAGAUACCCUAGUAGUCCACGCUGUAAACGAUGAGUACUAAGUGUUGCCAAAAGGCAGUGCUGUAGCUAACGCAUUAAGUACUCCGCUGAGUAGUAUGCUCGCAAGAGUGAAACUCAAAGGAAUUGACGGGGACCCGCACAAGCGGUGGAGCAUGUGGUUUAAUUCGAAGCAACGCGAAGAACCUUACCAGGCCUUGACAUACCUUGCAAUGCUAUAGAGAUAUAGUGGAGGUUAACAGGGAUACAGGUGGUGCAUGGUUGUCGUCAGUUCGUGUCGUGAGAUGUUUGGUUAAGUCCAGCAACGAACGCAACCCUUGUCCUUAGUUGCCAGCAUUAAGUUGGGGACUCUAAGGAGACUGCUAGUGUAAGCUAGAGGAAGGUGGGGAUGACGUCAAAUCAUCAUGCCCCUUAUGGCCUGGGCUACACACGUGCUACAAUGGCUGAUACAAAGAGUCGCAAAAUCGCGAGAUCGAGCUAAUCUCAAAAAAUCAGUCUCAGUCCGGAUUGAAGUCUGAAACUCGACUUCAUGAAGUCGGAAUCGCUAGUAAUCGUGAAUCAGCAAUGUCACGGUGAAUACGUUCUCGGGUCUUGUACACACCGCCCGUCAAAGCACGAGAGUCGGCAAUGCCAGAAGUUGGUGUCCUAACCGCAAGGAGGGAGCUACCCAAGGCAGUGGUGGCAAUUGGGCUUAAGUCGUAACAAGGUAACCGUA
rnacentral:rRNA from 1 species